rnacentral:rRNA from 1 species
CUCGUAGUUGGAUCUGCGUGUUCAGCAUCCGGUGCGGUCUUUGGCCGCUACUGGAAUGCGACACAUCGAAUGCCGGUUUGCCGUUGAUGCUCUUCAUCGGGUGUCAGCGGUGGCUGGUGAGUUUACUUUGAACAAAUUAGAGUGCUCAACGCAGGCGUUUCGCUUGUAUAUUUCUGCAUGGAAUAAUAGAAUAGGACCUCGGUUCUAUUUUGUUGGUUUUCGGAAGUGAGGUAAUGAUUAAGAGGGACUGACGGGGGCAUUCGUACUGCGACGUGAGAGGUGAAAUUCUUGGAUCGUCGCAAGACGCACUACUGCGAAGGCAUUUGCCAAGAAUGUUUUCAUUAAUCAAGAACGAAAGUAACGGGUUCGAAGGCGAUCAGAUACCGCCCUAGUUGUUACCGUAAACCAUAUUGACUGGGAGUAUGUCGGCGUUUGCAAGAACCCGAUAUGAACCCGACGGGAAACCUCAAGUUCAAUUACUGGGGGAGUACGAUUGCAAAGUCGAAACUUAAAGGAAUUGACGGAAGGGCACCACCAGGGGUGGAGCCUGCGGCUUAAUUUGACUCAACACGGGGAAACUCACCCGGCCCGGACACCGGAAGGAUUGACAGAUUGAGAGCUCUUUCUUGAUUCGGUGGGUGGUGGUGCAUGGCCGUUCUUAGUUGGUGGAGUGAUUUGUCUGGUUAAUUCCGAUAACGAACGAGACUCUGGCCUACUAAAUAGUCGUCGGAUCGCUUCAGUCCGACUGACUUCUUAGAGGGACAAGCAGUGCUUAGCUGCAUGAAAAAGAGCAAUAACAGGUCUGUGAUGCCCUUAGA